UCUUUUGGAAGAGCAAAGAAAGUGGUUUCUUGAGAUGGAAACUACUCCUGAUAAACAUGCUGUGAA
rnacentral:pre_miRNA from 1 species